rnacentral:rRNA from 1 species
UUUAUCAAAAACAUGUCUGCUCGUUAUAAUGAACAGUCUGGCCUGCCCACUGAUAUAAUUAAAGGGCCGCGGUAUCCUGACCGUGCGAAGGUAGCAUAAUAAUUAGUCUUUUAAUUGAAGACUGGAAUGAAAGGUCGGACAAGAAGCACUCUGUCUCAACUUAAAUUGUUUAAAUUAACCUUUAAGUGAAAAGGCUUAAAUAAUCCUAAAGGACGAUAAGACCCUAUAAAACUUUAUUACAUUAUAUAUACUUCUCUAAUUAUUUGUGAAAAAAAAAGUAUAUAAAAAUGUAUUACGUUGGGGCGACGUAAGUAUAACAAAUAACUGCUUUACUAUAAAACAAUUAUAUUUGAAAAUAAUGAUCCUUUUUUUUUGAUUUAAAGAAAAAGUUACUUUAGGGAUAACAGCGUUAUUUUUUUUGAGAGUCCAUAUCGACAAAAAAGUUUGCGACCUCGAUGUUGAAUUAAGAUAACCUAAUGGUGCAGCAGCCACAAAGGUAGGUCUGUUCGACCUUUAAAAUCUUACA